rnacentral:misc_RNA from 1 species
UUUUUUUUUUUAAAAAAAAAAAAAAAUUCCCAUAUAUUCUUCCUUCCUCUGAAAUUUCUAUAGAGAAAGAAGCCAUACCCAUCAAAACGUUAAUUGAAAUCACAGAAGAUUUAGAUAAUUAUGAGAAAAGGGUAAAAAAGGUAAAAUAAAUUAAGCAGUCCAAUCACAACCACAAAGCUCCAGCAUCUUUCAAAAUAGGCACCAACUCACC